CCAUGUAUUCGUAAAGUAGAAUGUAAUAUUUUCAAGCAGGGAUCCUAGCCUUGCAGGUAUAGUAUGACAAAUCAGCUGUAUGUUUCUAAGGGAACUCUUAUAUUGGAACUAUAAAUAGCAGAAGAAAGGAUGUUAUACACUACUUAGUCCGACACUUGAAGAGUUAAAAGUGUACCUUUUUAAAAACUCUCUGCUGUGGAUGAC